rnacentral:RNase_P_RNA from 1 species
GCAGCAGGCUGUUUCAUCGUUCUCCUCGGAGCAUAGUCGAAGAGGGGAAAGGAAAGUCCGGACAACAUAGAGCGCCAUGCUUCCUAACGGGAAGAUAUCCGCGAGGGUAUAGUAGUGUAACAGAAAAUAACCUCCCCUUCGGCUUUGCUCAGGGGAAAGGGUGAAAAGGUGAGGUAAGAGCUCACCGGUCAUGGUGGUGACACUGUGAGCCGUACACCUUAUGGGUUGAAAGACCAUGUAUACCGGCGCCAAGGACUGCUCGUCCGAUGCCGGGGGGUAGGUCGUAUGAUCCCGUAAGUGAUUGCGGGACAAGAUAAAUGAUGGAAACCGGUUCAAAUGUCUUUUGCAGAUGAACGAACAGGAACAGAAUCCGGCUUACAGGCCGGCUGUAAAC